rnacentral:rRNA from 1 species
UACGUAGGGGGCAAGCGUUGUCCGGAGUACUGGGCGUAAAGCGCACGCAGGCGGUCUCUUAAGUUUGGAGUGACAGUUGGUGGCUUAACUGCCAAAGUGCUUCGAAAACUGAGAGACUUGAGGGCUUCAGAGGGACACGGAAUUCCGGGUGGAGUGGUGAAAUGCGUAGAGAUCCGGAAGAACACCGGUGGCGAAGGCGGUUAGCUGGGCAGUUGCUGACACUGAGGCGCGACAGCGUGGGGAGCAAACAGG